rnacentral:rRNA from 1 species
UACGUAGGGGGCAAGCGUUAUCCGGAUUUACUGGGUGUAAAGGGAGCGUAGACGGAAUGGCAAGUCUGAUGUGAAAGGCCGGGACUCAACCCCGGGACUGCAUUGGAAACUGUCAAUCUAGAGCACCGGAGGGGUAAGUGGAAUUCCUAGUGUAGCGGUGAAAUGCGUAGAUAUUAGGAGGAACACCAGUGGCGAAGGCGGCUUACUGGACGGUAACUGACGUUGAGGCUCGAAAGCGUGGGGAGCAAAUA